GACGUAGGGGGCCAGCGUUGCUCGGAAUUACUGGGCGUAAAGGGUUCGUAGGCGGUGUGGCAAGUCGGGAGUGAAAUCUCCAGGCUCAACUUGGAGGCUGCUUCCGAAACUGCCGCGCUAGAGUGCGAGAGAGGCCAGUGGAAUUGCAGGUGUAGCGGUGAAAUGCGUAGAUAUCUGCAGGAACACCCGUGGCGAAGGCGGCUCUCUGGGACGGUACUGACGCUGAGACGCGAAAGCGUGGGGAGCGAACAGG
rnacentral:rRNA from 1 species